CUACAAGAUAAAGGUCUGAAAUCCUGAGCCUGAAAGUUGAGGUCCUUAAUCACCUGGCAUAACCAUUCCUCUACAUAAAUCUUUCUUUCCAGCUCCCUCCCUGAGCCACCUGAAGCACACCAGGUGUGGGCCUGCUUCAUGCCUUUGCUCAUCCUGCAGACGUGACUUACAUGCUUCCUGCUGGGGCGAGCACCAGAGACUGGCUGAAAUUAGAAACAAGUGAGGCAAGGAUGUAGCCACAGGUUCAUUUGGAUGGCUCUGAAACUGUGAACUUUUACAUCUCAGUGAAAAUUUUCUCAUCAAGCAUCUCACACCAACAAGGGAUGAAAACAGCCUGGGGAAGCUGAGGAAUUUUUUUAAACAAAGGGGAAUAUUCAUCUUCUGACCUGAACAGAAUGAUAUUAUACAGCAAAAGAAGACCCUUGAAUCCAUGAUACUUUCUUGAAAGUCAGAAGCCAGAAGGCAAAGAAGCUACGGAGGUGAGGCCCACAGGACAGCAGUGAGCAGGAAGGAGGAGAGAUAAGAAUGGGUCAGGAAGGGCCAAAGGAACACAUCUACACACUCCCUUGUGACAGAAAUCUUUUUCGGUGAUACAUACUUUUGUUUGAAGAGCAAAUAAAGUGAGCGAUAACGUCACCAGAGCAGUCGCUGCUGUUGCCCACAGCACUUCCUCUGCAUUACAGAAACUAAAACCAGAGACUGUGAUUAUUGUUCACAUACAUACAAAGAAAAGCACACGCGAGAAAGGAAAUAUGUAU